rnacentral:SRP_RNA from 1 species
GCCGGGCGUUGUGGCGGGCGCCUGUAGUCCCAGCUACUUGGGAGGCGGAGGCAGGAGACUCGCUUGAGCCCAGGAGUUGGAGGUUGCUGUGAGCUGUAAUGCCACGGCACUCUACCCAGGGUGAGAUAGUGAGACUCUGUCUCAA